ACCGGUGAUGAUUGCGGCGAGGACACACCUGUUCCCAUCCCGAACACAGAAGUUAAGCUCGUUCGCGCCCACGAUACUUGGUUGGUGACGACCCGGGAAAAUAGGUAUUGCCGGUU
rnacentral:rRNA from 1 species